UAACACGUGGAUAACCUACCUAUAAGACUGGGAUAACUUCGGGAAACCGGAGCUAAUACCGGAUAAUAUUUUGAACCGCAUGGUUCAAAAGUGAAAGACGGUCUUGCUGUCACUUAUAGAUGGAUCCGCGCUGCAUUAGCUAGUUGGUAAGGUAACGGCUUACCAAGGCAACGAUGCAUAGCCGACCUGAGAUGGUGAUCGGCCACACUGGGACUGAGACACGGCCCAG
rnacentral:rRNA from 1 species